rnacentral:rRNA from 1 species
UACGUAGGGGGCAAGCGUUGUCCGGAAUCAUUGGGCGUAAAGCGCGUGUAGGCGGACUGGAAGGUCUGGUGUGAAAGCCCGGGGCUCAACCCCGGAGGGUCACUGGAAACCGACAGUCUUGAGUCCGGAAGAGGAGAGUGGAAUUCCUGGUGUAGCGGUGGAAUGCGCAGAUAUCAGGAGGAACACCUAUGGCGAAGGCAGAUUUCUGGGCCGUAACUGACGCUGAGGAGCGAAAGCAUGGGGAGCGAACAGG